AUACAUUCUGAUAUUAUAACAUCACAAUAAUGCGAUCGUUUGGAUUCAUACCGAGAACAGUAAAAACAAUAUGCUUUCUGAUUGAAUUAUUCAAGCUCGUAGCUUUUAAGUUUCAAUUAUAGAUACAAACAUUGUAGGCAAGAGAAACUGAACAAUAAACAGCAUUUUCUUGCUGAGGUAUAAAAAGCAGUGAGUUGCGGAAAAUGAUUUUUUUAAAGAUGAAAGUGUAGCCCAUCAUUAAGAUCAAAUCUAUGAGAGGAGAAGCUCUGCAAAGCACAGUGUUGCUACAGUACACUACUCCAGAUGUAAUCCCACACAGACUUCCUUGGCUAUGAUUCCGACUUAUUCAGUAAUUACAAGCAACAAAGAAAACAGGCGCCUGCCUGAAAGGGCAGAGCAAACAAGUUGGAGAACCAUAAAUGUACAGAAGGACAGCAAACCUAUACUUGCUGCCCUCAGAGUGGAACUUGCUGAGUCUUCCAAAGAAGAACCCAUAAGGAUAGAUUGCAGGAGGACCAGCUUUUGAGGAAAGUUGAAGAAUCAAAAUGAAGAAAAACAAAAAAUUAAGACAUUACAGGCUGCCCCUCCUCGCCAUCGGGUGACUGCCGUCUCCCUGUGGAGAAAGUGCAGCUGGAAUGACGACAAGGGAUGGAUUUCUGCUGGGCCCAUCUGGGAACAACAGUGGGAUUUACUGCCCUGGCUGGCAGGGAACACACAGCACUGCCUGGCUGACCCAAAGAAUGAGCCUCAAGC
rnacentral:lncRNA from 1 species